GCUCAGAUGGCUCAGUCAGUACAGCAUGAGACUCAAUCUCAAGAGCUGUGAGUUCGCGCCCCACAUUGGGCA